rnacentral:rRNA from 1 species
AAACUGAAGAGUUUGAUCCUGGCUCAGAUUGAACGCUGGCGGCAUGCCUAACACAUGCAAGUCGAACGGUAACGCGGAGAGCUUGCUCUCUGGCGACGAGUGGCGGACGGGUGAGUAAUACUUAGGAAUCUGCCCAGUAGUGGGGGACAACAUUCGGAAACGGAUGCUAAUACCGCAUACGCCCUACGGGGGAAAGCGGGGGAUCUUCGGACCUCGCGCUAUUGGAUGAGCCUAAGUCGGAUUAGCUUGUUGGUAGGGUAACGGCCUACCAAGGCGACGAUCC